GAAACUCGGUGCUAGGUGUGGUGUUUCUAUCUUGUGUGAGUUUGCCGUGUCGAGUCGAGUGUGGCGCUACUUAUGCGGUACUUAUGGAGGCUCCUAUAGAUACACACGGUGCGUCUGCGUGCGCGCGAUCGCAAUCUCAUUCC